rnacentral:rRNA from 1 species
UACGUAGGGUGCAAGCGUUAAUCGGAAUUACUGGGCGUAAAGCGUGCGCAGGCGGCUUUGCAAGACAGAUGUGAAAUCCCCGGGCUCAACCUGGGAACUGCAUUUGUGACUGCAUGGCUGGAGUGCGGCAGAGGAGGAUGGAAUUCCGCGUGUAGCAGUGAAAUGCGUAGAUAUGCGGAGGAACACCGAUGGCGAAGGCAAUCCCCUGGGCCUGCACUGACGCUCAUGCACGAAAGCGUGGGGAGCAAACAGG